AUUGAACGCUGGCGGCGUGCUUAACACAUGCAAGUCGUGCGAGAAAGGUUCCUUCGGGGACUGAGUAGAGCGGCGCACGGGUGAGUAACGCGUGGGUGACCUACCCAGGAGACCGGGAUAACAGUGGGAAACUGCUGCUAAUACCGGGUACGCUUCAUAUUUCACGUAUGGGGGAAAGGCGGCCUCUGCUUGCAAGCUGCCACUCUUGGAUGGGCCCGCGUCUCAUUAGCUUGUUGGUAGGGUAACGGCCUACCAAGGCGGCGAUGAGUAGCUGGUCUGAGAGGAUGAUCAGCCACACUGGGACUGGAACACGGCCCAGACUCCUACGGGAGGCAGCAGUGGGGAAUAUUGCGCAAUGGGCGAAAGCCUGACGCAGCGACGCCGCGUGAGGGAAGAAGGCCUUCGGUCGUAAACCUCUGUCAGAGGGAAGAACCGAAUAGGAGUCGAACAGGACUCUCGUGCUGACGGUACCUCCGGACGGAAGGCGACCGGCUAACUCCGUCGCCG
rnacentral:rRNA from 1 species